rnacentral:rRNA from 1 species
CGACCGGCGCACGGGUGAGUAACACGUAUGCAACCUGGCCGUGACAGAUGGAUAACCGGGAGAAAUCCCGCCUAAUACAGCAUGACGCCGCGGGAGGACAUCCUCCCGCGGCCAAAGGGGCGACCCGGUCACGGAUGGGCAUGCGGCGCAUUAGGUAGUUGGUGGGGCAACGGCCCACCAAGCCGACGAUGCGUAGGGGUUCUGAGAGGAAGGUCCCCCACAUUGGAACUGAGACACGGUCCAAACUCCUACGGGAGGCAGCAG